rnacentral:rRNA from 1 species
GCUCGGUACCCAGUUUGAUCCUGGCUCAGAUUGAACGCUGGCGGCAGGCUUAACACAUGCAAGUCGAACGAUGACUCUCUAGCUUGCUAGAGAUGAUUAGUGGCGGACGGGUGAGUAACAUUUAGGAAUCUACCUAGUAGUGGGGGAUAGCUCGGGGAAACUCGAAUUAAUACCGCAUACGACCUACGGGUGAAAGGGGGCGCAAGCUCUUGCUAUUAGAUGAGCCUAAAUCAGAUUAGCUAGUUGGUGGGGUAAAGGCCCACCAAGGCGACGAUCUGUAACUGGUCUGAGAGGAUGAUCAGUCACACCGGAACUGAGACACGGUCCGGACUCCUACGGGAGGCAGCAGUGGGGAAUAUUGGACAAUGGGGGCAACCCUGAUCCAGCCAUGCCGCGUGUGUGAAGAAGGCCUUUUGGUUGUAAAGCACUUUAAGCAGGGAGGAGAGGCUAAUGGUUAAUACCCAUUAGAUUAGACGUUACCUGCAGAAUAAGCACCGGCUAACUCUGUGCCAGCAGCCGCGGUAAUACAGAGGGUGCGAGCGUUAAUCGGAAUUACUGGGCGUAAAGCGAGUGUAGGUGGCUCAUUAAGUCACAUGUGAAAUCCCCGGGCUUAACCUGGGAACUGCAUGUGAUACUGGUGGUGCUAGAAU